rnacentral:rRNA from 1 species
CACCUCACAGCUAGCCUAACUCAAAAUUCAACAAAUAAAUAUAAAUAACCCCUCACUUACCAACAAAUCACAACCAAACCAUUUUACAUCUUAGUAUCGGCGAGAGAAAAGAAUUAAUUAGCGCUAUAGAGAUAGUACCGCAAGGGAAAGCUGAAAGAGAAAUGAAAUAAAUAACAAAGUUAAGCAAAGCAGAGGUUCAACCUCGUACCUUUUGCAUCAUGAAUCAGCCAGAAAAUUCUAGCAAAGAGCCCUCUAGUUAGAACCCCCGAAACCGAGUGAGCUACUCCAAGACAGCCUGUUAGCAGGGCAAACCCGUCUCUGUGGCAAAAGAGUGGGAAGAGCUUUGAGUAGAGGUGAUAGACCUACCGAACCCGGUCAUAGCUGGUUGUCUGCAAAAUGAAUAGAAGUUCAGCCUCGCAUAACUCUUAGCCAAAUAAGCAAUGCCUGUAUUGCCAACAGAGUACACUGCGGGAGUUAGUCAACAGGGGUACAGCCCUAUUGACAAAGAAUACAACCUUAGCCACAGGGUAAAGAUUAUAUUUAACCAAGGCACGAUGUUUAAGUGGGCCUAAGAGCAGCCACCUAAAAAGAAAGCGUUAAAGCUCAACCAUCCAACAGCCAUUAAUCCUAAUAAACAAAUCCUAACCCGUGUAAUUUUAGCAGACUAUCCUAUGCAACCAUAGAAACAACUAUGCUGAUAUGAGUAAUAAGAGAGCAAGACUCUCUCCUAGCACAAGUGUAUGUCGGAACGAACUCACACCGAAAACUAACGAACUCAAAACCAGAGAGCCAGGGGCCAUACACAGAAAACAAGAAAAACACCCCAGUACAACACCGUUAAUUUCACACAAACGUGCUUGCAAGGAAAGACUUAAAGGGAGAGAAGGAACUCGGCAAACACAAGCCUCGCCUGUUUACCAAAAACAUCGCCUCUUGUAAUAACAAAAAUAAGAGGUCCAGCCUGCCCUGUGACCAAAAGUUUAACGGCCGCGGUAUUUUGACCGUGCGAAGGUAGCGCAAUCACUUGUCUUUUAAAUGAAGACCUGUAUGAAUGGCAUAACGAGGGCUUAGCUGUCUCCUUUCCCCAGUCAAUGAAAUUGAUCUCCCCGUGCAGAAGCGGGGAUUAACCCAUAAGACGAGAAGACCCUAUGGAGCUUUAGACCACGAAGCAGAUUAAGUCAAUACCCUUAAAUACAAGAAUAAACUAAAUAAAACCUGCUCACAUGUCUUUGGUUGGGGCGACCACGGGAAAAAAAGUAACUCCCGCGUGGAAUGGAAACACCUUUCUACAGUCAAGAGUGACAACUCUAAUAAACAGAACUUCUGACCUUAACGAUCCGGCACCGCCGAUCAACGAACCGAGUUACCCUAGGGAUAACAGCGCAAUCCUCUUAUAGAGUCCAUAUCGACAAGAGGGUUUACGACCUCGAUGUUGGAUCAGGGUAUCCUAAUGGUGCAGCCGCUAUUAAGGGUUCGUUUGUUCAACGAUUAAAACCCUACGUGAUCUGAGUUCAGACCGGAGUAAUCCAGGUCAGUUUCUAUCUAUGAAAUGACUUUCUCUAGUACGAAAGGACCGAAAAAGUGAGGCCCAUGCUUAAAGCACGCCUCUUCUCCACCUAAUGAAAUCAACUAAAAUAGAUAAAGAGACAUAAACCUGCCUCUAAGAAUAUGAUAU